CUUUUCUUUUUUUGCAGUGUCAUGCACUUGUUACCUACGUUUAGAAAAUACGAUAAUCGAACAAUGCGAGAACAGAAAGAAGAGGGACAAGUUCGCUCAUUAUUGCCAUUAUUUUCUAGUUGUAUCGAUACUUAGAGCUUAUAAAAAGCGUACGAAUUUUCUAAGCGGAUUGUAACGAAUGAUCAAAGCGUUUAAUCGAUUAGAUCGUAAACUGCUUUAUACGUAUCUCUGUUAGGAUUACGAGGCGCAGGACAUAGACCGUAGGGAAGAACAUGGGUCUCGCGUUUAUGCAUGAACCGAUGUGCGAUGACCAAUGCAAGUAAAAUUCGCGACGGCAGCGAUUCUUUCUUGAUUGU